ACAUAUAAACCCCCAAAUUCAAAUAUCAUUCUCAUUUGUCAUUUUGAAGAAGCAAAAUUGAAGAACCCUUGCGUUUAUAGUAACAAUGGCGCUUUCCUCUGCGUUUCGAGAACGACUGGAGCAAAUGGAAAGUACCAGAAAUCAACGUCUCUCUCUUCUCCAGGCAGAGAAAGAAUUGCAAACGAGCAAGUCUCAGGUGUUAGCAUCGAAGUUGGUAAAUAUUCGGUCUAUUGAACAAAGGUGUUUGGUUCUUGUCCACAAAAUUGCAUUUCAGAACUUCAAAAUCUUGGUUCUUAAAUCGGAAAUCGAGAGCCUCGAUGCUAAAUACGAUCCUGAUUCACAAGAAUUCAGGGUUUUGAAGAGUGAAGUGGAGGAGAUAGAGGAGAAGGAGAAGGAGAAGGAGAGGUUUUAUCAAGUAAAAGGUCUUGAUAUGAAGGCUUUUAGCGAAAAUGUGGAUAAGUUUGUUAAGGAAUCUCGUAUUCAAGUGAAUGAGUUACGGAAUCGUGUGAAUGAGCUUAACUCAAUAUUCAUAAAACUUCAAGGGAACAAUGGGUUCUUGAGCAAUUCUGAGAUAGCUGAAGCAGAGAUGAGAAAAUCGCAACUUUUUGCUGUAAAGGAGAAUUUGGACACAAGUUUGGCUUCGAACUACCAAUUGAGAUCACAGUUGAAGAAGGAGCUUGAUAAUGUUUUGAUCAUAAGAAAUCAAGAGAGAAGGAAAGUGUCCCAGUUUCACUGAAAACAAAGGUUUAAUCGAGUAAACAAUCAGAGGGUGUCACGGCCAUGAAUUAAUUUUCUGAAACAUAAAUGUCUCUAGAUGAUGUAAAAGUGAUCCUAUUCCUCUGCCAAGCAUUCCAAGAUGCAAAUGGAGCUUCUUAAAGCCUUCGAAGGUGUACACGCUUACGAUAUUCUCCAAGGGCCCAUAGCGGAAAUAUGUUCUUAAAUGAUGCAUAAUGUAGCAUGCAAGUCCUCAAGGAGGCCCCGGUGAUUUGCUGUGAGAAAGAAUUCACGGUUAAGAGUUACAGGGACAAUUAAAAGUAAAAAAAUAAGGAAAAUUGUCCUGACCCUCCGUGGUUAUUUUUUUCCCUGUCUUCAGUUUCUUAAAAAUUACCGUUUAUAUCCUGCAACAACUCGAUUUCUAAAUAUAAAUGGAAAGAUCAACCUACCGUUCAAUUAAA